CGCUAAGAAGCUGAAUAGGGUUGCAGCAUUAGCCUUUUAAGCUAAAAACUGGUGACUCCCGACCACCCUUAACGAC
rnacentral:tRNA from 1 species